rnacentral:lncRNA from 1 species
CAUGAAAGGACUUUGUUCUAAGACACAGAGCAAAGGUGACAAGUUCUGGGAUUUCCUACCUUGAGUGUUAGGUUCGUAAAUGUCUGAUGUACAUUUUUGGGUACGACAUAAACUUGUGUUAGCAAGCAAGGGUGACAUGGACAUUUCUCUGACUGCAAUGCAAAAUGAAAUAUUGGCAUGAUACAACAUUCGUGACGGACUUUCUCCACAAAUAACAAAUCUGUGGCUGCAGAUAUUACGUCUCUUAACCUUGCCUGUGUUUCUUGUACCUGAGAGUCGCCACAACAGAUCGGUUGUUGCAUAGGAACGGCUGCUGACAUCCAACCCAUUUUCUUCACCCUAGUUACAUGAUCACUAUCACCCCAGAGGGGACUUAUCUGGUUCACUUGCUGGCGUAGCCAUUUAAAGAUUGAAGUCAUUAAUGCGUUGUGCCUCUGUCCUCUGCUACGCAUUCGGGGGAAAGGCCCAUCCUUGCUGUGCCACUCUGGAGUAAAACUGUGCAGAAGAUACAGGCAUGUGGGAAUGAAAAGCCCCUGUGGGAAUGAAAAGCCUCUAUAUUCUUAGAAAUGGAUGGUCUCUGGAAGUGGACAGCAUCUGGUGGUCCUAAGGAGGCGAUACCACAGCUGAGCGUCAGGAUAGCAGAGCUGUGUAGGCAUGUGCCAAGGAGGUGCGCGAGACCUGGGUUGUGAUCUUGGUUCUGCUGCGGCAUCUCUCUAACUCAGUUUCCUCCUCUGUCGAAUGAAAAUAAAGAAGCUGCUCCCAUUUGUCGACUCUCCUGA